AAUAGAUACCCGGGUAGUCCACGCCGUAAAACGAUGAGUGCUAAGUGUUAGGGGGGUUUCCGCCCCCUUAGUGCUGCAGCUAACGCAUUAAGCACUCCGCCUGGGGAGUACGGUCGCAAGACUGAAACCCAAAGGAAUUGACGGGGGCCCGCACAAGCGGUGGAGCAUGUGGUUUAAUUCGAAGCAACGCGAAGAACCUUACCAGGUCUUGACAUCCCAUUGACCGCUAUGGAGACAUAGCUUUCCCUUCGGGGACAGUGGUGACAGGUGGUGCAUGGUUGUCGUCAGCUCGUGUCGUGAGAUGUUGGGUUAAGUCCCGCAACGAGCGCAACCCUUGUUCUUAGUUGCCAUCAUUUAGUUGGGCACUCUAAGGAGACUGCCGGUGACAAACCGGAGGAAGGUGAGGAUGACGUCAAAUCAUCAUGCCCCUUAUGACCUGGGCUACACACGUGCUACAAUGGACGGUAUAAACGGUUGCCAACCCGCGAGGGGAGCUAAUCCGAUAAAACCGUUCUCAGUUCGGAUUGUAGGCUACAACUCGCCUACAUGGAACG
rnacentral:rRNA from 1 species